rnacentral:pre_miRNA from 1 species
CAACUUUCAUCCUAUACCGUUGGAUUAACAAAUGGACGUUCGAGAUUCGUCCACGUCACCAUGAGUUAAAAUUUAACUCUCAUUAUAUUUUAACUCAUGAGUGAAUCUGCGAGUUAAAUUUUAACUCAGGGUGACGUGGACGAAUCUCGGACGUCUAUUUCUCGAUCCAACGAUGUAGAAUGAGAGUUG